UGUUAUGAGUUCAAAGUACAAGACUCAGAAGCUGGUUUUAACUAAGAAAGAUUUUCUUAGAGAUCUCGGAUUGACACUUUCCAACGCGAAGGAUUGAGCAUGGCAUUAAUAAAGAUGCGUUUGAGACUCCCACGUCUGAUAACAAUUUCGUUGAAAAACUCUUGACAAACAAAGUGCUUGGAAUACAAAUAACAUUUGAAUAAAAGCUAAGAAAUUUCAUCGCGUUAAGGGAAAAACGUAUCUCCAAUUCAACAUCGAAACAGGAUAAUAAUUCUCUUUAAACAGUAUCAAAUAAAUUACCAACUGAAUUGUUUGAAGGUGACGAUGAUAACCAUUCCGUGUUGGAGAACGAAGGUAGAGAGACAAGUCCUUAAGGUGAGGAAAAUA